rfam:Gossypium hirsutum cultivar TM-1 chromosome 13, whole genome shotgun sequence
GGGUGAAAUCAUACCAGCACUAAUGCAACGAAUCUCAUCAGAACUCCGCAAUUAAGCGUGCUUGGGUGAGAGUAGUACUAGGACGAGUGACCUCCUGGGAAGUCCUCAUGUUGCAACCC